rnacentral:rRNA from 1 species
GAUGAACGCUGGCGGCGUGCCUAAUACAUGCAAGUCGAGCGAACGGACGAGAAGCUUGCUUCUCUGAUGUUAGCGGCGGACGGGUGAGUAACACGUGGAUAACCUACCUAUAAGACUGGGAUAACUUCGGGAAACCGGAGCUAAUACCGGAUAAUAUUUUGAACCGCAUGGUUCAAAAGUGAAAGACGGUCUUGCUGUCACUUAUAGAUGGCUCCGCGGUGCAUUAGCUAGUUGGUAAGGUAACGGCUUACCAAGGCAACGAUGCAUUGCCGACCUGAGAGGGUGAUCGGCCACACUGGAACGGAGACACGGUCCAGACUCCUACGGGAGGCAGCGGUAGGGAAGCUUCCGCGAAGGGCGAAAGCCUGACGGAGCAACGCCGCGUGAGUGAUGAAGGUCUUCGGAUCGUAAAACUCUGUUAUUGGGGAAGAACAUAUGUGUAAGUAACUGUGCACAUCUUGACGGUACCUAAUCAGAAAGCCACGGCUAACUACGUG